rnacentral:rRNA from 1 species
UACAGAGGUCUCAAGCGUUGUUCGGAUUCAUUGGGCGUAAAGGGUGCGUAGGCGGCGCGGUAAGUCGGAUGUGAAAUCUUGGAGCUUAACUCCGAAGCUGCAUUCGAUACUGCCGUGCUUGAGGACUGGAGAGGAGACUGGAAUUUACGGUGUAGCGGUGGAAUGCGCAGAUAUCAGGAAGAACACCAACGGCGAAGGCAGCUCGCUGGGACGGUACUGACGCUGAGACGCGAAAGCGUGGGGAGCGAACAGG